rnacentral:rRNA from 1 species
CCCUUAGAUGUUCUGGGCCGCACGCGCGCUACACUGAUUCAUGCAACAAGUUUUGUCCUUGGCUGAUAGGCCUGGGUAAUCUUUGAAUGUGAAUCGUGAUGGGGAUAGAUGAUUGCAAUUAUUCAUCUUCAACGAGGAAUUCCUAGUAAACGCAAGUCAUCAGCUUGCAUUGAUUACGUCCCUGCCCUUGUACACACCGCCCGUCGCACCUACCGAUUGAAUGGUCCGGUGAAAUCUUCGGAUCUGAGAGAUGUCUGAUUAAUUUCGGACGCCUUUUGGAAAAGUUGUUUAAACCUUACCAUUUAGAGGAAGGUGAAGUCGUAACA